rnacentral:rRNA from 1 species
UACGUAGGGUCCAAGCGUUAAUCGGAAUUACUGGGCGUAAAGCGUGCGCAGGCGGUUGUGUAAGCCAGAUGUGAAAUCCCCGGGCUUAACCUGGGAAUGGCAUUUGGGACUGCAUCGCUGGAGUGCGGCAGAGGGGGAUGGAAUUCCGCGUGUAGCAGUGAAAUGCGUAGAUAUGCGGAGGAACACCGAUGGCGAAGGCAAUCCCCUGGGCCUGCACUGACGCUCAUGCACGAAAGCGUGGGGAGCAAACAGG